UGAACCUGCGGAAGGAUCAUUACCGAGUGCGGGCCCUCUGGGUCCAACCUCCCAUCCGUGUCUAUCUGUACCCUGUUGCUUCGGCGUGGCCACGGCCCGCCGGAGACUAACAUUUGAACGCUGUCUGAAGUUUGCAGUCUGAGUUUUUAGUUAAACAAUCGUUAAAACUUUCAACAACGGAUCUCUUGGUUCCGGCAUCGAUGAAGAACGCAGCGAAAUGCGAUAAUUAAUGUGAAUUGCAGAAUUCAGUGAAUCAUCGAGUCUUUGAACGCACAUUGCGCCCCCUGGUAUUCCGGGGGGCAUGCCUGUCCGAGCGUCAUUGCUGCCCUCAAGCACGGCUUGUGUGUUGGGCUUCCGUCCCUGGCAACGGGGACGGGCCCAAAAGGCAGUGGCGGCACCAUGUCUGGUCCUCGAGCGUAUGGGGCUUUGUCACCCGCUCCCGUAGGUCCAGCUGGCAGCUAGCCUCGCAACCAAUCUUUUUAACCAGGUUGACCUCGGAUCAGGUAGGGAUACCCGCUGAACUUAAGCAUAUCAAUAAGGCCGGAGGAA
rnacentral:rRNA from 1 species